CUCCAGACUCCUACGGGAGGCAGCAGUGGGGAAUAUUGCACAAUGGGGGGAACCCUGAUGCAGCGACGCCGCGUGGGUGAAGGAGCACCUCGGUGCGUAAAGCCCUAUCGGCAGGGAAGAAAAGCGAACAGGUUCGCCUGGACGGUACCUGACUAAGAAGCCCCGGCUAACUACGGGCCAGCAGCCGCGGUAAUACGUAGGGGGCAAGCGUUGUCCGGAAUCAUUGGGCGUAAAGAGUUCGUAGGCGGCAUGUAAAGUCAGGUGUUAAAGGCGCAGGCUCAACCUGUGUAUGGCACUUGAUACUUGCAAGCUGGAAUGCGGUAGAGGUAAAGGGAAUUCCUGGUGUAGCGGUGAAAUGCUUAGAUAUCAGGAGGAACAUCGGUGGCGUAAGCGCUUUACUGGGCCGUAAUUGACGCUGAGGAACGAAAGCCAGGGUAGCAAAUGGGAUUAGAUACCCUUGUA
rnacentral:rRNA from 1 species